GGGCCCGCACAAGCGGCGGAGCAUGCGGAUUAAUUCGAUGCAACGCGAAGAACCUUACCAAGGCUUGACAUAUAGAGGAAAAGUGCAGAAAUGCACUCCCCGCAAGGUCUCUAUACAGGUGGUGCAUGGUUGUCGUCAGCUCGUGUCGUGAGAUGUUGGGUUAAGUCCCGCAACGAGCGCAACCCUCGUCCUAUGUUGCCAGCACGUAAUGGUGGGAACUCAUGGGAUACUGCCGGGGUCAACUCGGAGGAAGGUGAGGAUGACGAUCAAAUCAUCCAUGCCCUUAUGUGCUUGGGCUUCACGCAUGCUACAAUGGCCGGUACAGAGGGCUGCAAUACCGCAAGGUGGAGCGAA
rnacentral:rRNA from 1 species